GAUGAACGCUGGCGGCGUGCCUAAUACAUGCAAGUCGAGCGAACAGACGAGGAGCUUGCUCCUCUGACGUUAGCGGCGGACGGGUGAGUAACACGUGGAUAACCUUCCUCUAAGACUGGGAUAACUUCGGGAAAGCGGAGCUAAUACCGGAUACUAUAUUGAACCGCAUGGUUCAAUAGUGAAAGCGGGUUUUGAUGUCCUUUCUAGAUGGAUCCUUGCCGCAUUAGCUAGUUGGUAGGGUAACGGCUUACCAAGGCAACGAUGCGUAGCCGACCUGAGAGGGUGAUCGGCCACACUGGAACUGAGACACGGUCCAGACGCCUACGGGAGGCAGCAGUAGGGAAUCGUCCGCAAUGGGCGAAAGCCUGACGGAGCAACGCCGCGUGAGUGAUGAAGGUCUUCGGAUCGUAAAGCUCUGUUAUUAGUGAAGAACAAAUGUGUAAGUAACUAUGCACGUCUUGACGGUACCUAAUCAGAAAGCCACGGCUAACUACGUG
rnacentral:rRNA from 1 species